AUUGAACGCUGGCGGCGUGCCUAACACAUGCAAGUCGAGCGGUAACGCGGGGGCAACCCUGGCGACGAGCGGCGAACGGGUGCGGAAUGCAUGGGAAUCUGCCUGAUAGUGGGGAAUAACCCGGGGAAACUCGGGCUAAUGCCGCAUACGACCUGAGGGUGAAAGCGGGGGACCGUAAGGCCUCGCGCUAUCAGAUGAGCCCAUGUCGGAUUAGCUAGUUGGUAGGGUAACGGCCUACCAAGGCGACGAUCCGUAGCUGGUCUGAGAGGACGGCCAGCCACACUGGGACUGAGACACGGCCCAGACUCCUACGGGAGGCAGCAGUGGGGAAUAUUGGACAAUGGGGGAAACCCUGAUCCAGCGACGCCGCGUGUGUGAAGAAGGCCUGCGGGUUGUAAAGCACUUUCGGUGGGAACGAAAUAUGCCGGGCCAAUACCCCGGUAGGCUGACGUUACCCAAUGAAGAAGCACCGGCUAACUCUGUGCCAGCAGCCGCGGUAAAGUCGAUA
rnacentral:rRNA from 1 species